rnacentral:rRNA from 1 species
GAUUCAGCGGCGGACGGGUGAGUAGUGCCUAGGAAUCUGCCUGGUAGUGGGGGAUAACGUCCGGAAACGGGCGCUAAUACCGCAUACGUCCUGAGGGAGAAAGUGGGGGAUCUUCGGACCUCACGCUAUCAGAUGACCCUAGGUCGGAUUAGCUAGUUGGUGGGGUAAAGGCCUACCAAGGCGACGAUCCGUAACUGGUCUGAGAGGAUGAUCACUCACACUGGAACUGACACACGGUCCACACUCCUACGGGAGGCAGCAGUGGGGAAUAUUGGACAAUG